rnacentral:rRNA from 1 species
UAGGGAAUCUUCCGCAAUGGACGAACGUCUGACGGAGCAACGCCGCGUGAGUGAAGAAGGAUUUCGGUUCGUAAAACUCUGUUGUUAGGGAAGAAAAAAUGUAUAGUAACUAUAUACAAAAGAGACGGUACCUAACCCGAAAGCCACGGCUAACUACGUGCCAGCAGCCGCGGUAAUACGUAGGUGGCAAGCGUCGUCCGGAAUUAUUGGGCGUAAAGCGCGCGCAGGUGGUUUAGAAAGUCUGAUGUGAAAACCCACGGCUCAACCGUGGAGGGUCAGUGGAAACUAAUAAACUUGAGUGCAGGAGAGAAAAGUGGAAUUCCUAGUGUAGCGGUGAAAUGCGUAGAUAGUGGGAGGAACACCAGUAGCGAAGGCGGCUUUCUGGACUGCAACUGACACUGAGGAACGAAAGCGUGGGUAGCAAAAAGG